rnacentral:rRNA from 1 species
AUGAACGCUAGCGACAGGCCUAACACAUGCAAGUCAGGGGCAGCACAAGGAGCAAUCUGAGGUGGCGACCGGCGCACGGGUGAGUAACACGUAUGCAACCUGCCUGUAAGCGGGGAAUAACCCGUUGAAAGACGGACUAAUACCGCAUAAUACUAAAUUACUGCAUGGUAAUUUAUUUAAACAUUUAUGGCUUACAGAUGGGCAUGCGCAUGAUUAGCUAGUUGGAGAGGUAACGGCUCCCCAAGGCAACGAUCAUUAGGGGUUCUGAGAGGAAGGUCCCCCACACUGGUACUGAGACACGGACCAGACUCCUACGGGAGGCAGCAGUGAGGAAUAUUGGUCAAUGGACGAGAGUCUGAACCAGCCAAGUCGCGUGCAGGAAGAAUGUCCUUAAUGGAUUGUAAACUGCUUCUGCAGGGGAAUAAAGUGCAUCACGUGUGAUGUUUUGUAUGUACUCUGCGAAUAAGGAUCGGCUAACUCCGUGCCAGCAGCGGC